CCUACGGGGGGCAGCAGUGAGGAAUAUUGGUCAAUGGACGAGAGUCUGAACCAGCCAAGUAGCGUGAAGGAUGACUGCCUUAUGGGUUGUAAACUUCUUUUAUAUGGGAAUAAAACGUUCCACGUGUGGGAUUUUGUAUGUACCAUAUGAAUAAGGAUCGGCUAACUCCGUGCCAGCAGCCGCGGUAAUACGGAGGAUCCGAGCGUUAUCCGGAUUUAGUGGGUGUAAAGGGAGCGUAGGUGGAUUGUUAAGUCAGUUGUGAAAGUUUGCGGCUCAACCGUAAAAUUGCAGUUGAAACUGGCAGUCUGGAGUACAGGAGAGGUGGGCGGAAUUCGUGGUGUAGCGGUGAAAUGCUUAGAUAUCACGAAGAACACCGAUUGCGAAGGCAGUUCACUGGACUGCAACUGACGCUGAGGCUCGAAAGUGUGGGUAGCAAACAGGAUUAGAUACCCUGGUAGUC
rnacentral:rRNA from 1 species